AAAUCACAGAGGACUGGAAGGUAUUUGUGAGUUAUCUGUCUCAUUUUUGUUAGGGCAUUUGAAGGAGGAUCUUCCUGUUACAAGAUUGGUUUUGUUCCCAAUGACAUGCCAUUCCACAGAUUGUUGCCCUAUUUGAAGGCUCAUUUUGCACUGCUGCUCCACAUUCCCUCUGGUACUAGUGAUAGUCCUCUGUGAUGCUGGUGGAAGAUUCCCCUGAGUGAAGACAAAAAUAUUUGCCCUUGAAGGCCAAACCUUAAUAAAUGUCACUCUGUUCCCUCUGCUGGUCCUAACUCCUAUCACUUACUCAUCCUGUAAUAAAAAAAUGGAUUGUUGGCUUGUAGUGUUGCUAAUGAUCUAUGCCUUUGCAGGAGACUGAAGGGAAGCAGCAGCCUGUUGAUUAACAGGCCCUAUUACAGCUCUCUGAUUCAGUUAACUUACUGCCUCCUUGCUGGAGGGAGGACUAAUGGGGUUCUUUGCCAGGUUCAUUUUUCCUUCCUGGGAGCCCUUUUGCUUGUUUGCUUCAGACCACACUCUCUGCAGCCCAGAUUUUUGGGGCUGAGCUGAUUCCUCCUCCACAUCUGGAGCAUUAAUUGGUGGCUUAGUCUCAUGACAUGCUGAGCAUCUUUAGUUUGUGUUGACUCUAACUGAAUUUGAGACUCCUGCAGAGUGCUUCCUAAAGACUAAACCCUGCAGGUCUACUGAGUGUAACCUUCUCUGUUGCGUGGUGUUAGAGACUGGCAGCUUCACUGUUACCUUGACCACCCUUUGUGACGUAGUUGGGACAGGCUGUGGAUUUGCUUACGUAACAGCUAUGACAGAUGGCAGUGUGGUGGUGUGAGUUACUGAUGCAGUGUCCUUGAGCUGUGACAGAAAUCUUGGCCUUUGAUGAACAGAAAAUUCUAGAUUCUGGAUUAGAUGCAUUUCUUUCCCGUCCUGUCCUAAAGCUUACCAAGCAUGCAUAGCACUGGAAAUCAUUCAACAUCAGGGCCUGGAAGGGAGCUAACUCAUGUGAAACACCUGAAAACUGUAAACGUCAGCGUGGAGCUGAGAGGAUAUGUAGAAUAAAAUUUGCUGUCCUCUUUUUAAAGUGAGUUGUGAGUUAACUGGUGGCACAAAUUCAAGCAGAGCAUUUUUUUUGUGAUGAAAAUCUUCAAAUCCUUGAAGGUUUUGACUCUUUUGGGAUCAAACUUGAAUUUUGGUGAUGACAGAGAGGCUCUCCCAUUUUUCUCAGGACUUUCCUAACAAACACUCCCAACACACAUAUUCAGUACAGUUUCAUUUCACUCUUGUUCUCAGCUGGAUUGGCUGAACACUGAGAGUGGAGCACCCCAAUUAUUCGGUCUGCAUGACCUUAUGAGCAGGCCAAUGCCAUGCUUUUUGACAGUGUGCUUGACAAACAAUGGGAGACCAAUGGCAGCCAGCAUCAGCUCUCAUCUUUUUAUCUCUAGAGAGCAGUAUUUGGUCCUAUAUUCAGCAUAGCUGCUCUAAUCUGAAUUUAGAACUGAAACAUUU